CGUUACGUACUUUUUGUAGUUUUUUGUAUAUUUAAUGUGCUUUUGCAAACUUUUGCUAUAUGUUCUCUACUUUAUAUUAAAGCUGAGAUUUCAAACUUUCAUUUGGUAUAAGACUGCACCUAGGGCGAGGGGCUGCUCUAUAUUUCCUAGGCCAUUGAAAAUGCAAAAUGUGCAAUUUUUGCACCACAAUUCUGUUAUUAAAAAAAAAAAUUGUGUUUUUUUUUAUUAAUUUUUUCAUUAACUCAUUCUACAAUAACUAAAUUAAUUAAAAAAAUACUUUAAAGUUAUAUUUAUUAUGUAUUUUUAUUUUAAUAAGCUUUUGAUUAUUACAUAUUGAACUAACAUAUUUCAAGCGCGUUGGCAUACCUCAACUUUGACUGGCUCUAGACCAAAAAGUAAUGAAGUUAUGAGGCUGAAAUUUCAGGGAAUUGUUACUCAUAUAUCUGUUAAUAUACUGUGAAAAUUUCAUCACGUCAAAAACCAUUUUUUGCCGCUGUUACUAUAGGGCUGUCUCACUGUGCAUCGUCCUUCUCUUCCGUCGGGGCGUGGGCGCAGAUAAGUGAUAUGUUGAAGAACCUCGCUUUGAUACGGGUUGUGGCUAGACGUUCAUCCACCCGGGGUGAGUGCCAGGACACCUUCUUCCGUCCUUGUCCCGUCCAUCGCUUUUCUUGGAUCUCGGUGAUGUCAGCCUUUACUGUUCCGAGGACAUCAACCAGCGGGGAAGAGGCACCUUGACAAUUAAGAGUCGGGAUAAUCCAGGUGCAUGCCCGUAAUUCGUAGUUCUUUAUACGUUUGCGGUCGUCGUCAUUAAAAUUGGGGUCUCUCAUCCGAGGCUAUUGCUUCCUAUGCACAACCGCAAAAGCGGGAUUCGCCCUCUCACUUUAGUUCGCCUCCAAAAGGAUGACUGUUGGCUACCCACAGGAUACUUGGUCUAAGAUCGGAAGUCGUGAGCUGCUUGAGCCACAUACAAAAGAAUCGUUCCUGGUCACUCCCAAGUGAAUGAGAGUCACUUACAUGAACUUCUACACAUGACAUAUGACAUUUUACAUCUACAACCUUCAUGAUGUAUGGAUUUCUAUUUUUAUUCCAAUAAAAUGUCGUAUAUCUUUUAAGUCGGUCAUUCUAAACUUUUCCAUUAAAUACUUCUUUAAACUAUUCAUUCUUGUCAUAUCCGUGUAGCUAUUACAUAGCACAUCAUCAACAUAUAAAUAUACAUAUGUACUAUAUAAGUUUUCCGUGAUAUCACCUCUGUCAAGGAUGUAUUAGGGAUGCAGAAAAAACAUCGAUGCAUCGGAAACAUCGAUGUUUUCUAUACUGUAACGUAAAAUGGCACCAGAACAAACUAGAAUUGACAAUCGAAAUCGAUAACUUGCUAGAUCUAUCUAGACAUCGAUAUUCGUAGUUGCCAGAAUGUGCGAGUGACGGUAACAUGCUACCAAUCGACUAUAUAAGGGCUGCCGGGCUGGCAGCAACACACAGUUCUAAUAAGAGAGUUGUCGAGUGAGGACAAUUCUAAGAAGAGAGUUGUCGAGUAAAGUGUAAACAAUAAACGAUAUACAUCGAUAUAUCGAUGUAUUUUUUUCGAUGCAUCGACUUGUGAUUAUAAUGUACUUGGACUAUUUUUUAAAUAAUAUUUGGAGCAGCUUAUACAAGAAAUUAAUACUUGAUAAUAAAGCCCAUCAGACAAGACUAAUAUUUUACAAUUACAAUUAGAGAAACAUCAACUGGAGGAUUUUUACCACGAUAUAAAUUUGAUAGUGUACAUUCAGCAGGAACAAAUUCCAUUGGAGGAGUUAAUAACAAAAGUUAGUACUUGAAAAAAAGAAGAUGAUAGCAACGGCGUCGCCUUUAGUAUACCAUCCACGAUUACAGAAUUAAAAUGCGUGUUUUUCAAGAUUAAGAGUUAUAUAAUUAUUACUCAAAAUUUAAGUUGAAAAUUUGACAAUUUUUAUCUUGCAAUUUCUCGAUUUAUAGUUCAUUUUUCAUUUAUAUUGUGCACUUAUUAUUCUCAAACGCUUUGUUACAUUGUUUCUACAUAUUUAUUUUAUAUCAAUUAUUUUAAUAUUUGCUUCAAAUGAGCAUUUAAAUUUUCACACAAUUCUCAAACGAGAUCCAUGUUGACAAAAAUAAGUGUUGUUGUAUAUACAUACAUAUUUUGCAAAAGAAUCGAAUUGAAUAAAAAAAGAUGAUCACUUUUUAAAGUGCGGCCGAAAGCCACCAAUACUUAAAGAAUUGGUACGCGAAAGAAUUUAAGACACACCGAGAUAUAAUCUAUAUAUAUAAAAAUUAAUUGCUGUUCGUUAGUCUCAUUAAAACUCGAAAACUGAACGGAUUUUUCUUAUCUUAGUCUUAAAAUGUUCGUGGAGGUCUGGGGAAGGUUUGAAAGAUGAAAAAAAAUCGUAUAAUUGCCGGGAAAACCCUAAAAACAGCCCUUUUCUAUUUCCCAAGCAAAUGUUUUUUAAAUAAAAUUGAACUUAAUUGCCGUUUAAUAAAGUUCAAAUCACUCACUAUUGUCUAAGCAAUUUAGGUGUGUUGCUUACGUCAAAGAGUCAAUUUGCAAUUUAUUCCCGCUGCACAAAGUUCAAAUUCAAUCAUAUCUAUCAAAAUCGUCUUCGCAUGCUCUUUGGAGGAUCUAAUGUCGCGUUCCGAAACUAAAAAAAAGUAAAUCGCGAAUGCAUAGUCACAAAAUAUAAUAAAUCAUUAGUAGUACUGAUUUUUCCGACUGAGAAUCAAUUUGUUCGGUUUCGUGAAACCUAAUUUUAGCUAACUUCAGUUGUUACUACCGAGCUGCAUUCCACUAUGAUCCGGCAAUUAAUUAUUGUGCCGACAAAUCGGUAACAAUUGGGGAAAUGAACAUAAUUUGUAAAUAUUGUAAGGCGUUAAAAUACACCGGUGAAUCUACUGGAUUAUGUUGUGCUGGAGGCAAAGUAAAAUUGCCACAAUUGGUCCAACCACCAGAUCCAUUACGUUCUUUCUGGGAUUGGAAAUGAUUCUAAGCACUUCUUGGCCAACAUCCAGAAAUAUAACAACUGUUUCCAGAUGACAUCAUUUGGCGCUACACAUAUUAUACAGGACAAUUUCAUGCCCACUUUCAAGAUACAAGGACAAAUUUAUCACUUAUUGGGGGCACUGUUACCACUACCUGAUGCAGUUCAUAAUUUUUUACAAAUUUAUUUUAUGGGCAAUUCAGAUGUGGAAGUUGAUAAUCGUUGUGCUCACAAUCCAACAGUGAAGAGAACCAUUGUCCAAGAAUUACAAAUGUUUCUUCAUCAGAAUAACAAUUUAGUAAACAUGUUCAAAAUAGCAUUAGAUCGGAUGCCAUCUGAUAGCCAUAAUAUUAUCAUUCGAGCUGACAAAACACCUGCCGGUGAACACACAAGGAGGUUUAAUUCACCUACCAUUGAUGAAGUGGCUGUUUUAUUGUGGGAGAAAAUUUACAAUCUAGAGAUAUUGUGCUUCAUCGUCGGAAUAGUAAUUUAAAACGUGUAUCUGAAACACAAAGAAGCUAUGAUGGAUUACAAUAUCCUUUGAUCUUCUGGCAGGGGGAAGAUGGAUACCAUUUUAAUAUCAAAAUGGUAAAUCCAGUAACAGGUGCUGAAACCAACAAAAAAGUUAGUGCUAUGAAUUUCUAUUCAUACAGACUCAUGAUCCGUCAAGGUGAAAUAAAUCAUAUUUUGAUGUGUCAACGACUUUUUCAUCAGUUUGCAGUUGACAUGUAUGUCAAAAUUGAAACUGAACGAUUAACAUACAUCCGUUUGAACCAACGACAACUACGAUCGGAGGAAUACAUUCAUCUCCGUGAUGCUAUAAAUGCCGAUGGCAAUGUGAAUAAUGUAGGAAGAAUGACAAUUUUGCCAGCCACUUAUAUAGGAAGCCCACGCCACAUGCACGAAUAUGCUCAGGAUGCUAUGUCAUAUGUUAGGCAUUAUGGCCGCCCAGACUUAUUUGUUACAUUCACAUGUAAUCCAAAUUGGUCUGAGAUCAAGAGGGAAUUGUUACAAAGCCAAACACCAGUUGUUAGACAAGACAUAAUUGCCAGAGUUUUUAAACAAAAAUUAAAAUCUCUCAUGAAUUUAUUCACAAAGCAUUGUGUGUAUGGCCGAGUAUGUACUCUGUAGAAUGGCAAAAGCGUGGAUUGCCACAUGCGCACAUUUUACUCUGGUUAGUGGACAAAAUAAGGCCAAAUGAGAUAAUAUAAUAUAAUUUCAGCUGAAAUUCCAGAUGAAACAGCUGACCUAAAAUUGCAUGCAGUAGUUACCAAACACAUGAUACAUGGACCUUGCGGACUUUUCAACAACAAUUCACCCUGUAUGGUCGACGGCAAGUGUUCCAAGCGAUACCCAAGAGACAUGCUUGCUGAAACCAUAACGGGAAAUGAUGGAUACCCAUUGUAUCGUCGCCGAUCAGUUGCGGACAAUGGGCGAUCGGUAAUUGUGAAGAUAAGAGGACAAAAUCUUGAUGUAGACAAUCGUUGGGUUGUACCAUACUCGCCAAUAUUGUAUAAAGCUUUUGAGACGCACAUCAAUGUGGAAUAUUGUAACUCAGUAAAGUCGAUAAAGUAAAUAUAUAAAUAUGUUAACAAAGGUAGCGAUAUGUCUGUCUUCGCUGUAACCAAUGCAAAUGAUGAAAUAUCACAGUACCAGAUGGGGCGCUAUGUAAGUAGCAAUGAAGCAAUUUGGCGUAUAUUUUCAUUUGCGAUCCAUGAAAGAUACCCUACAGUAGUCCAUGUGGCGGUCCAUUUAGAAAAUGGUCAACGAGUUUAUUUUAAUCAAUCGAACGCGGCAGACAGAGCAGCACGUCCACCAUCGACAACAUUAACAAGUUUCUUCACAGUCUGUCAAACUGAUGAUUUUGCUCGCACUUUGCUGUAUGCUGACAUGCCACGCUAUUACAUAUGGAAUGCAUCAUCGAAAUCGUUUCAGCGUCGAAAACAAGGAACACCAGUUGAAGGACAUCCAAAUGUAUUUGCUUCAGACGCUCUGGGUCGCAUCUACACAGUACAUCCAAAUAACGAUGAAUGUUUUUGAAUGUUUGAAUGAAUGUUUUGCAUCGUGUGCGCGGUGAAACUUUGAAUCCUACACUACAAAUGACUGACGAAAUUUACAAUGAGACAUUGAUUAUGAUAGAAGAUAUGUGUUUAUUGAUAGCUAAUAAAGUAUUGUCGUGUUUGGAAAUGACAUUGAAGAAUUGGCCGAAACAGUUCGUACAAAUGUUCCACAAUUAAAUCAACAACAAAGAAUUGCGUACGACACUUUAAUAGAAGCUGUGAACAGUGGAUCUGGUGGAAUUUAUUUCCUUGAUGCUCCCGAAGGAACAGGAAAAACGUUCUUAAUUUCAUUGCUGUUGGCCCGAGUCGUACGCACAUCAAAAACAUCUUGAUCAUCGGUCAGCCUCAGGCCGUUUGGAGAUGUUUCGUCAUGGAGGCUGAAUUUUCCGACUGUUGUGCCAAAUACACCUUCUAUACCCACCCUAUCGUUAAAAUCGCCAAGAACGAGUUUUACAUCGUGGCGGUGCCUGCGUUCAUAGGUGCUCAUAGAAAGUAUCUUUGGCCACAUCGCACAGUGAGACAACGCCGGCAUUAAAUACAAGGAGUCAUUGUUGAGCUCUGAAAUUUUGUACAGGUUAUUUUUGGGACAAUUCCAGUUUAAAAAAAAAUUAAGAAAAUUCGCCCACUUUUACGCCUACCUGCCAUACAGUCGAAAUUUUUAAAAUGCCGUAUUGUCCGUAAUACUUUAGGUAUAACUUUCAAUUUUGGUAUACUUGAAUGUUAUAUAGUUACAAACAUUAUUUGAAAUAAAAAUUGAACUUUGGCCCACUUCUAACCCCAUCACCCAUACUACCUCAACAUAAAAAGUGCCAUAUUUUCUAAAAUAUAUUAAAUACAACCUUCAAAUUCUAUAUUACUGUAAUUUAUAUCAUUUAAAAUGUUUCAUGCAAAAAUUACAAUAACACGCCCACUAAUACGCCCACCUCCCAAUGAAAUGCAAUAAAAAAAACAAUAUUUUUUUCAUUCAAUCAAUAAUUUUUUAACAUCAUCAUGGUAUUCUAAUUUUUUCAAUUUGUUUCUCAUUCUAAAUGAAUUAAUAUAAGGAUCUGAUGGUAUUUGCAAAUAGUGCAUUACAUCUUUAUUCGUAGAAAUACGUGAAUUUUUACGAGAAUGGAAUAGCCUACAGUUUCUAUACUCCUUAUUCAUUGCUUCUUGCGCUUCUUCGGAUAACUUUUCUCUUACUUUUUUACUACACUAAAAUUUAUAAGAACACGAUCAUCCUCUGAUCAAAAAUUAUGCACCUAUCUAACCCAAAGUCAAUGACCUUCAACAAAAUUAUCUAUCAAAUUAAUAACGUAAAUAAAAUUUAUGUAAACAAGAAUAAAACAUAAAUGAUUAAUAUUAAAGCA